rnacentral:rRNA from 1 species
UAAAUACUGGCACGAGUCCGAUAGCGGACAAGUACCGUGAGGGAAAGUUGAAAAGCACUUUGAAGAGAGAGUUCAAGAGUACGUGAAACCGCAUAGAGUCAAACGGGUGGAUCCGCUUGGUCGUCCCUCGGAAUUCAGCUCGCAAGCCGGUGGCUGCCUGUGCCUGGUGAUCUGUAACAGGACGCCGGGCGCGGGCGUGCUCGCCGGUAUGCGGGUGCACUUUCUGAGGGACGAAUGCCACGACCGGUUCUGGCGCGGUCAUAAGCCCCGCAGCAAGGUAGCGAUCCCCUUCGGGGGCCCGUGUUAAGGCUGCGGAGGUGGGCUCGCGCCGGGACCGAGGAUGAUGCCGCCGUCUCCGGCCUCUGGCCGUGCUAGGGUGUUCGACUGUGGAUGCGCGGCUUCGGCCGUGCCCCGCGACCGCUCCUUGGCAAGGGCUAGUACGCCGCGACGGCACUAUGGUCUGUGGCGUCUCGGUCGGUCCUCCACCCGACCCGUCUUGAAACACGGACCAAGGAGUCCAGCAUGUGCGCGAGUCAUGGGGCUCUACGAAACCCAAAGGCGCAAUGAAAGUAAAGAUGAUCUCCGAUCGUCCAGGCAGGAUCCCGGCCACUCGCUGGCUGGGCGCACUGCCGGCCCGUCUCAGCCGCAUUGACGGCGAGGCGGAGCAAGAGCGUACACGCUGGGACCCGAAAGAUGGUGAACUAUGUCUGAGCAGGACGAAGUCAGA